CCUACGGGAGGCAGCAGUGAGGAAUAUUGGUCAAUGGAUGAGAGUCUGAACCAGCCAAGUAGCGUGAAGGAUGACUGCCCUAUGGGUUGUAAACUUCUUUUAUAAAGGAAUAAAACGAGGCACGUGUGCCUUUGUUCAUGUACUUUAUGAAUAAGGAUAGGCUCACUCCGUGCCAGCAGCCGCGGUAAUAAGGAGGAUGCGAGCGUUAUCCGGAUUUAUUGGGUGUAAAGGGAGCGUAGAUGGGUUGUUAAGUCAGAUGUGAAAGUUUGGGGCUCAACCGUAAAAUUGCAAUUGAUACUGGCAGUCUUGAGUACAGUUGAGGUAGGUGGAAGUCGUGGUGUAGCGGUGAAAUGCGUAGAUAUCACGAAGAACCCCGAUUGCGAAGGCAGCUUACUAAACUGUGACUGACAUUGAUGCUCGAAAGUGUGGGUAUCAAACAGGAUUAGAUACCCCUGUAGUC
rnacentral:rRNA from 1 species